rnacentral:rRNA from 1 species
AUUGAACGCUGGCGGCAGGCCUAACACAUGCAAGUCGAGCGGAUGAAGGGAGCUUGCUCCUGGAUUCAGCGGCGGACGGGUGAGUAAUGCCUAGGAAUCUGCCUGGUAGUGGGGGAUAACGUCCGGAAACGGGCGCUAAUACCGCAUACGUCCUGAGGGAGAAAGUGGGGGAUCUUCGGACCUCACGCUAUCAGAUGAGCCUAGGUCGGAUUAGCUAGUUGGUGGGGUAAAGGCCUACCAAGGCGACGAUCGGUAACUGGUCUGAGAGGAUGAUCAGUCACACUGGAACUGAGACACGGUCCAGACUCCUACGGGAGGCAGCAGUGGGGAAUAUUGGACAAUGGGCGAAAGCCUGAUCCAGCCAUGCCGCGUGUGUGAAGAAGGUCUUCGGAUUGUAAAGCACUUUAAGUUGGGAGGAAGGGCAGUAAGUUAAUACCUUGCUGUUUUGACGUUACCAACAGAAGAAGCACCGGCUAACUUCGUG